AGUGAACGCUGGCGGUAGGCCUAACACAUGCAAGUCGAACGGCAGCACAGUAAGAGCUUGCUCUUACGGGUGGCGAGUGGCGGACGGUGAGGAAUACAUCGGAAUCUACUUUUUCGUGGGGGAUAACGUAGGGAAACUUACGCUAAUACCGCAUACGACCUACGGGUGACAGCAGGGGAUCUUCGGACCUUGCGCGAUUGAAUGAGCCGAUGUCGGAUUAGCUAGUUGGCGGGGUAAAGGCCCACCAAGGCGACGAUCCGUAGCUGGUCUGAGAGGAUGAUCAGCCACACUGGAACUGAGACACGGUCCAGACUCCUGCGGGAGGCAGCAGUGGGGAAUAUUGGACAAUGGGCGCAAGCCUGAUCCAGCCAUACCGCGUGGGUGAAGAAGGCCUUCGGGUUGUAAAGCCCUUUUGUUGGGAAAGAAAAGCAGCAGGUUAAUACCCCGCUGUUCUGACGGUACCCAAAGAAUAAGCACCGGCUAACUUCGUG
rnacentral:rRNA from 1 species